CUACAACUACCACCACCACUACUACUACUACAACAACCACUACAACUGCAGCAGCCACUAUAACUAGACCACCAUCUCGACCAGCUCCUGUUAUUGUACUCCAGGUUGUCCUUGUCAUAGUAUUUCAGCCUGCUCUCACCAACUCACAAAGCCUACAGUUCCAGCAACUUGCAAGACGAAUUCAGAUUUCAUGUGAUAUGGUCUUUCAACAACGUUUUGGAUCACGAUUUCUGAGGACCCUUGUGAGAGCUUUCAGGAGGCGGGGUUCCAGCAACAAGCAGUACCGAAUGAAUGAGGUUGAGACAGAUCUUGAACUGGAAUUCGAUGAGACUUCAAUUGAACCGCUCCCUCAAAACUCUGAGGUUGUGGAAACCUUGGUUAAUGCCGUGAAUGACAACUCUUCAGUCUUUGAUGUGGACGUGCGCGUGGACUCCAUAGUAGUUACAAGUGCACCUAACUCAACAAGCAUCCCCCAGUUCCGCACCGAUGAGACGUUUAGUGCUGAUCUUUUGGUUUCCACUUCCGACACCUUCCGUAAC
ensembl:lncRNA